AGCUUUGCGCAGUGGCAGUAUCGUGGCCCGUGAGGUAAAUCCGAGGUGCGAUUAUUGCUAGUUGAAAACUUUUCUGUGAAAUUGGCACCCUUUUGUUCAAGACUUGAACUUCAACAUUCAUUUUCCUAAGUUCAUUUUUGUA
rnacentral:snRNA from 1 species